rnacentral:lncRNA from 1 species
UGUAGUAAUGAGUCCUUCUUACUGAAUUUGUUACAUAUUUAAUGCCACCCUGCAGGUUUAAGGACAUGCCAGAAAUCCAGAUUCGAGGCUGCAGAAAUCUUGUGAGUUGUCUCCAAUUGCUUAGCAUUAUUGGCGCAUUCAAAUAUUUUAGUAUUUAACAUGUAUGAAUGAUGUUUAUGAUGACAUGGCUGCAUUUCCACCGAAUAAGAGCGAAGGUCCGUUAUGCAUGGGCUUGGAAGAACCAUGAUGGAAAUGUAUAGAAUGAUUUCAUAGCUCGAGUUCUGCACUUGUGAAUUUGUGUAUGUAUUGCCGGAGUCAAAAGUAAUUUUGGUAAGUUAUGGAUCUAUAACUUUUGAAAACUAGAGUAGGAAUGAUAUGUUCUAGUCACCAUGUGUAAUUCCUUUCCCUGUAUUUUCAGGUUGUCAGUCUCUUGGUUUAAUUUCACCAAUACUGUUAUAUAUGCCUAUAGUAAAUUUGUUGGCUUGUCAGGAUAAAAAUCCCUAUCUCUAGAUUUCUAUAUAAUCAACUCUAGCUUUAUUUUUACCCAUCCACUAUGAUACAUGGUAAGAGCACAAGACUUGGUAGUUCUACAAUAUGCAUUUUGAAUGUGGUUCCUUCCCAUAUCGAGGGUUUCAAGUGCAUUCUGAACAAGAGAAGAUUUUGCGUUCAUUUUGGUUGAAUGUAACCACAAUCCUGAACUCUGACUACCUGUGCUUAUUGAUAAACCUUCUGUAACAAUUUAUUUGGUGUGAAUUGUUCUAUAUAAUUCUUCGGUUAUUUUUUGCUUUAUCUGUUGAUUAUCAAGUCUUUAUAUUUUGAAAUUGUUUUUUUCCCCUUUCAAACAUCAUUGCCAUGUGGUCUAUAGUGUUCAGCUCUAAGGUAUCACUGAUUGAAAUGGCAGUUCCAAUCCUUGCAACUGUGAUAGGGUGUCUGGUUGCUAGUCUCAUGGCUUUUCUUAACGGGGAAUAGCUUCUGUAUCUGGGGCUUUUGGCAAUAGCAUCCCGUGAAAGUCUUUCUUUUGUCAAUAACCAACUUAUUAUCUAGUUUAAAUAUGCGACCUGCACUGCCUGUGGUACACAAAAUAUUUCUCUUUAUUUUUCUAGUUGAGCUCCAGUACAUCAUUGGUCCGAGUCCGAACAAAUCCGACACGAAGCCCGAACAGUGUCAGCACUCCACCGGAAGCGGAUAAAGUUCUUUGAAAGGAUGAGGCUCUUUGACUUGAAUCUUUUCGAUUCUUGUCUCUUUGUUCUGCAUCAGAACAUUGCUAGCGGCACUCUUUGUCCUCAAACUCACGGUCUCCAACUGCCGCUGCAGCCGGCGGAGGAAAAGAUUUCCUUCCCUUGCUUCUCCCGUCCCCCACACCCUCUAAUUCCUUGGAAUCCCUCGCCCCCGGAGGUGUGACUUCUUUGAGUAGGCGGAAGAUGGCUUGGGAUGUCCAGAGGUCUUAGUGGGUCGUUGGAGUCAUCAUCUUGUAGCGACAGCCUUUACAAGUAUGCAAUGAAAGAACUUGUGGGUGCCUCAGUUUAGGGUCAGGAAUGUGAAGUUUUGGAGACGAUAUGAGGAGAACCACCAUGAGGAAGGG